UACGUAGGGUGCAAGCGUUAAUCGGAAUUACUGGGCGUAAAGCGUGCGUAGGCGGUUAUUUAAGUCUGUUGUGAAAUCCCCGGGCUCAACCUGGGAAUGGCAAUGGAUACUGGAUAGCUAGAGUGUGAUAGAGGAUGGUGGAAUUCCCGGUGUAGCGGUGAAAUGCGUAGAGAUCGGGAGGAACAUCAGUGGCGAAGGCGGCCAUCUGGAUCAACACUGACGCUGAGGCACGAAAGCGUGGGGAGCAAACAG
rnacentral:rRNA from 1 species